GAAAAGACCCAAAGUAAUAAAAAUAAUCAUCCAACUCUGUCAAUAAAAUGACAACUCAAAACUACACACACAUCACCCUUAAAAACCAUCAUCCCACAUCAGCAGUCAUGUACUCCUCCUUUCUCUGUUUCUCACACUAACAAUAAUCAUCACUCCACCGCCUCCCCCUUUCUCUCCACCGCUUUCUACGAUCACGUUUCCGGCGAUUUAAGCGCCGCUCGUUUGGUUCCGUUGAACCGGCUUCUGUUUCCGAUCACUUUUCAGAAACUCGGCUCCGACCACCUAUUCAUGUCGUUUAGGGUGAAAAAAGGCAAAAAAACAACAACCUGCAGGUCGAACCAGCCGAAUUUUUGACAUUUGCUGAAAAUAGCCAAACCGGCAAACCGGAUCGGCGGAGGGACCGAACCCCGGCGGCGGCGAUGGUGGGUCUAUGGUACUAACGGUUCUGAAGGUUUCAAUAUCAUGGUCAUGAGCGGUUUUGUAACAUCUCAUCAAAUCGAUGACUAUUUGGAGUCUACUUUGUUUGUCUCUUCAUCUCUCUCUAUCUCUCAUAGAUCCGCAGCUGUUGUGUGUGACUGGUGUAAUUGUUUGGUGAUAUACCAUGUUUGCCUCUCUGUCAGAAAUUGUUACCGGUGACGAAGAUAUCAAAGGACAAAAAUGUAAUUUGAGUGGGGCUGUCGGUGGCAAAGGCCACCGACUUUGUAAUUUAAGAUAGAUUGUAAUAUCAAAAUAAUAAUAUAAAUGUCAAUUAAUUUAUGUUAAAUUA